rnacentral:rRNA from 1 species
UUAUCUCUGUAGAGUCUGCAUAUCAAUAAGCGGAGGAAAAGAAACUAACUAGGAUUCCCUCAGUAACGGCGAGUGAAGCGGGAAGAGCUCAAAUUUGAAAUCUUCAAGGUUCUACCUUGACGAAUUGUAGUUUAAAGAAGUGUUUUCUGUUGGAGUUUUGGUAAAAGUUCUUUGGAAUAGGACAUCAUAGAGGGUGAGAAUCCCGUAUUUGACCAUUAUUUCCAGCUUUGUGAUACACUUUCAAAGAGUCGGAUUGUUUGGGAAUGCAGUCCAAAAUGGGUGGUAAAUUUCAUCUAAAGCUAAAUACUGGCGAGAGACCGAUAGCGAACAAGUACCGUGAGGGAAAGAUGAAAAGAACUUUGAAAAGAGAGUUAAACAGUACGUGAAAUUGUCAAAAGGGAAGCGUUUGACACCAGUGUUGUUUUCUCGAAAAUCAAUUAAAAAAGGCAGGAUUUUGUGUUGUAUUGACUUUAUCAGCUUUCUGCACUCUUUUCUUGUCUUUUUUAAUGCACUUUUCGUUUAACAAGUCAACAUCAAUUUCUUUUGUUGUAAAAGGGUCAUUGGAAGGUGGCUUUCACUUCGGUGAAAGUGUUUAUAGCCUUUGGCUUCUGCAAUCGGAGAGAUUGAGGUCUGCAGCGUAGAUCCUUCGGGGCUAAAUGCAUUUGUGCUAAGUUAUAGCAUUUUAUAGACAACUUGUUGACUAUGAUUUGUCUUGUAGCUUACUCGCUUAUGUUAUUUUACCUACGCUUAGGAUGUUGACGAUCAGCUGAGCGCG